rnacentral:lncRNA from 10 species
CCGUGGCAUGUGCUUCCCCCCAACCUUUCACCAAGGACCUACCAUGUGCCAAAGACUAAGCACUGGGGAUAGAAGGUGAACGAGACCGGUGUGGCCCCCCGCCCUGCUCUUGGACCUGCCAAUCUCCAGGGUUUGUUUUCUUGAGACUCCUGACGCUGCCUGGCCCGAGUCAGCACUAGGGAUUCCUGAUCUCUGCAUAUCCCUUCCCAGCCAUCCAAGACAGCAAGAGCUGUUGCUUCUCUUCUCAAAUUUCUCCCUUGGCUUCUUGAUUGAGAGUUUCAUCCCAGCUAUGGUUUAAAAAACAAACAGCAAACAAACAAACAAACUAACCACACACUCAAACAAACCUCAGACUGCACAAUGGAAGCACUGCCUGGAAUCAUAAAGAUCAUUUGUUCAAUGUCCCUUUUUCUCACUGCCAGGCCAGUGCUCUCGUCUGCACCAUGGAACCCAUUAUGACUUGAACCUUUCCAGAUUGAUUCCCCAUAAACCUAAUGAAGACAUUGGAAAGGUGAGCUGAGGAGUGGCUGCAUUAGAUGAAGG